ACGGGAGGCAGCAGUGGGGAAUAUUGCACAAUGGGCGCAAGCCUGAUGCAGCGAUGCCGCGUGAGGGAAGAAGGUUUUCGGAUUGUAAACCUCUGUCAUCGGGGACGAUAAUGACUGUACCCGAGAAGGAAGCUCCGGCUAACUACGUGCCAGCAGCCGCGGUAAUACGUAGGGAGCGAGCGUUAUCCGGAAUUACUGGGUGUAAAGGGAGCGCAGGCGGAGAUGCAAGCAGUCUGUACAAUACCGGGGCCCAACCCCGGACCUGCAGACUGGACUGUUUCUCUUGGAUAGUUCAGGGGCAAGCGGAAUUCCUGGUGUAGCGGUGGAAUGCGUAGAGAUCAGGAAGAACACCGAUGGCGAAGGCAGCUUGCUGGGGACUUAUCGACGCUCAUGCUCGAAAGUGCGGGUAGCAAACAGGAUUAGAUACCCUGGUA
rnacentral:rRNA from 1 species